rnacentral:lncRNA from 1 species
GCAACAGAAGUAAACAGCAUAAGCUGCCUUUGCCGAGGUGCAUCAUGCUUUUCGUAAGCUGUAAAGUCCGUUGCCAGGCCUGUUCUAAGCCCAGCGAGCUGCCGAGUGACAUUUGGAGGUAAUGGACCAAGUUCUAGGCUCUUACUCAACUUUUCCCCAGCCCGGAGUCCUCAAAGCUUCAAUAAGAAUUGAGGGAGAGCAGAGGGAAAAACUGAGCGCUGAGCCCAGGAUGGGACCCAACAAUAACACCCUGCACUGCUGCAGCUGGGAAGCUCAUCACAGGGCACAGCCCGCUCUCACAACACGGAUGGGAAGCUGAAGUGAGCCCCCGGGGACCACGGGGGAUGUUUUACAUUUGCACCCUCUUAUCCAGGGUGAAAACCCAUCCCACGAUCCCUCCCCAUACCAGCAGCCCCACUCCCAGGCUGCGGCAGAGCCAGGAUGCUUGCUUGGAGCACACCAGCAGCUUUCCUGGCUGUGUUUAUGGUGCCAGAUGCUUGCUGAGAAGGCAACACAUCCCACUGGGCACCCAUAGGGUGCAGACAGGCACCCCCAUGUCCCCCAGUCCCGACCUGUCCCACGGCACCGCACCUCCAACCCCUCCUGGCCCAAGGCAGCCCAUGCUGAUGGGUGCCAAGCCUGAGCACUGCUCCCUCCUUCCCUGCUUCCCACCUCUAAACCCUCCUCCUACCCCAUCUGAAGGGGGAAAUAAUGGUGUUUCCUUCUGCUCAGAGGCAAAUCACAUCCUCUCCCCUCUGUAAAAUGGGGACAGAAUGGGGCUGACCACACCACAACUGGGAGAUUGCCGGGAUAGUGCUGCUCCCACAAAGUUGGGACCACCUCUGCAGAGCAGAGGGAAUGCCGUUGCCUGCCUCCCUCUUUGGGAUCACAGCUCUGUGCUUUCCCCAUCACAUUCAAACAAGCACCUUUAUUACCUUUGCUAAGUGCGUGCCCCGCAGUGAGGGAUGGAGGUUUGCAGGGAAGCUGGUGGCAUCCACCGAGGGCCCCCUUGGAAGCAUCCGCCGGGUUUUCCUUCCCAAUGAUUUUCUCCUCGCACCCAGGGAUUAAAUAAAAGGAACGCGGC